CGAGUCGAUGUAACAUGUCUUCCUUUGAACUUUUGUAGUAAUUUUGCAGUCUGGAAUCUUUGUCUCCCCCCGCUGGCGCUGCCGAUAAAUACACAAACAUUGUCCAUGUGUGGUAAUGUCCUUAGGGUGUCUGUAGGAACACAGUCAAACCCAAAUCGGAUACCAACUCCUCCAAGAGCUUAAGCGUGAUGUCUGUUGGUCCUAAAAGAACGUCCUCUUCUGUUAAAUAUCUCCAAACGGAUAAACUACAUCCUUACUGAUCCAUCCACAUGUUCUCGUUAUUCCGUCUGUUUGGGUUUUGUUAGACUAUAUUCAUACCACAAAACAUGUCCAUUUCCCAUUUGGACCAUUAGAUUAGAAGGUUUUUCUACUCAGCUACUACAGAGUAUAUUACAGAGUAUAAAUUUCAGAUGCUCACAUUCUACAUCUUAAAUUCUACAUUCCGCAUCCAUUUGACAACAAAUCUGGAAUCUUAUAGUUUUAGUAAAGAUGAUAAAAACAUAAUUUUUAUUCCUUUUUGAUUCUUGUUCCAACUUGGAACAUCCGCAAACCAAGACCUAAACAUCCAUAAACUGUUUAUGGAUGUGCAUUAGCUGAUCAUGGUAUAAUUGAAUGACUUAUACAUUUAGCUUGCAUUUAAUGUUAGAUUUAGAGAUAAGUGGGGCCGUGAUGUUCUUUUGUUCUUCUUUUCCUCUUUUCUUUUCAAUAGCUUCCCAAUGAUUUGACAAUCUUAUGAAGUGCUUUCAUCCACGUGGUUAGCAAUGUCCCUCCAACUGACGACUGUUCUCUGGUGUUUGUUUUUACUGAGAAGUAAAAAAAAAAAGAAAAUUGUAGUCCAUGAUUUUACUUUAGAGCUAUGGAUUAAACCCAUUUGAAUGACACAACUUUUUAUGAACUUUGUGAUGCUGUGAGAGCUCUGGUAUGAAACUCCCCACCUCCAAAACAAACCAUCUUCAUCCUACCACUUCCUGGCGUCUUCUUCUUCAUUUCUGCCAGUACAGGUGUUGAUCACGUGAUUUGUGUGAUG